UAUGUGAUCGUCUCUCGCAUAUCAAUAAGCGGAGGAAAAGAAACUAACAAGGAUUCCCUUAGUAACGGCGAGUGAAGCGGGAAGAGCUCAAAUUUGAAAUCUUAAAGGGUUUCCCUUUACGAAUUGUAGUUUAAAGAAGUGUUUUCUGUUGAGGUUUUGGUAAAAGUUCUUUGGAAUAGGACAUCAUAGAGGGUGAGAGUCCCGUAUUUGACCUUUACUUUCAACUUUGUGAUACGCUUUCAAAGAGUCGGAUUGUUUGGGAAUGCAGUCCAAAAUGGGUGGUAAAUUUCAUCUAAAGCUAAAUAUUGGCGAGAGACCGAUAGCGAACAAGUACCGUGAGGGAAAGAUGAAAAGAACUUUGAAAAGAGGGUUAGACAGUACGUGAAAUUGUCAAAAGGGAAGCGUUUGACACCAGUGUUGUUUUUCUGAAAAUCAAUUAAAGAACUGUUUAUGCUAAGCUGUUUAGACUUUAUCAGCUAUCUGUUUAGUUUUGAGCUUUUCUUUAAUGCACUUUUCAGUUAACAAGUCAACAUCAAUUUCUUUUGCUGUAAAAAAGCUUGAGGAAGGUGGCUUGAGAUUCGUCUUAAGUGUUUAUAGCCUCUUGCCUAUGCAGUCGGAGAGAUUGAGGUCUGCAGCGUAGAUCCUUCGGGGCUAAAUGCAUUUGUGCUAAGUUAUAGCAUUUUAUAGACAACUUGUUGACUAUGAUUUGUCUUGUAGCUUACUCGCUUAUGUUAUUUUACCUACGCUUAGGAUGUUGAUCUGUAGUGCGUGCGC
rnacentral:rRNA from 1 species